GAAAGAUGAGAAUAUAAACAUGGACAAACACGUUUAUAGGCUCCAGAAAAAAAUAGUCUAGCGUUUCCUUAAAUCACUUUUGCCGCGUUGCGUGUUCUAGCAAACGUUCUAGCAAACGCUCUCACUAGCAAACUAGCUCGUUUGCUAGUGAGACCGCCGAAUCCUAACCACAAGACAGCCAGGGACGAAAACCGAGAAAUUGGUGGCCUCUUUGCUGGCCAUGCUGGCCCCUGUCUACCACCAAAAGCUCCUACAAAAGGCACGUGAGUGUCAGCACUGGAAAGUGGAGCAAUAAGAUGGUGGCUUGGUCUGAUGAAUCAUGUUUUCUUUUACAUCAUGUAUGGCUUAGGGUUAGGGUUAGAAAAGGCUUGAAAAGACGCUUGGCCAAG
ensembl:lncRNA